rnacentral:rRNA from 1 species
UACGAAGGGGGCUAGCGUUGCUCGGAAUCACUGGGCGUAAAGGGUGCGUAGGCGGGUCUUAAGUCAGGGGUGAAAUCCUGGAGCUCAACUCCAGAACUGCCUUUGAUACUGAGGAUCUUGAGUAUGGGAGAGGUGAGUGGAACUGCGAGUGUAGAGGUGAAAAUUCGUAGAUAUUCGCAAAGAACACCAGUGGCGAAGGCGGCUCACUGGCCCUAUACACGCUGAGGCACGAAAGCGUGGGGAGCAAACAGGG